rnacentral:lncRNA from 1 species
UGAAAGUUUGGCUUCAAAUCUACUUUGAAUCAAAGGGAUGGGAGCACGUCUGCUCCACAUUGUCUCUUCUCUGCAGAAAUCCCGAAGAACAGCUCAGUAUAAAUGAUCUGCUCAUAUAAAGGGAUUUUCAGGACUUGCAUAGUUAUUCCUGCAAUGAAUCAAAAUGUUUGUGAUUGGGAGUCAUUGGGAGUCACUGAGCUCCUGGAAAUGGGGAAGAGGGAAUGACAGAGUCUGUGGUCAACCGAACAGAAUUUUAUUCAGAGCAGUCUAGUGUAAAAAUGAACCCUCAAACAAUUGCUACUCAUUCUUUCUCCUUCUGUUUGCAAGAGUUUUCCCUUGAAAUGAGGAUGAAUUGAUAUAUUUUACAGACUUUCCUGAGGAGUGAAGAAUAUAAUAUACUUGUGAAUGUGAC